rnacentral:rRNA from 1 species
GAUGAACGCUGGCGGCGUGCCUAAUACAUGCAAGUCGAGCGAACAGACGAGGAGCUUGCUCCUCUGACGUUAGCGGCGGACGGGUGAGUAACACGUGGAUAACCUACCUAUAAGACUGGGAUAAUUUCGGGAAACCGGAGCUAAUACCGGAUAAUAUAUUGAACCGCAUGGUUCAAUAGUGAAAGACGGUUUUGCUGUCACUUAUAGAUGGAUCCGCGCCGCAUUAGCUAGUUGGUAAGGUAACGGCUUACCUAGGCAACGAUGCGUAGCCGACCUGAGAGGGUGGUCGGCCACACUGGAACUGGAACGCGGUCCAGACUCCUACGAGAGGCAGCAGUAGGGAAUCUGCCGCAAUGGGCGGAAGGCUGACGGAACAACGCCGCGUGAGUGAUGAAAGUCUUCGGAUCGUAAAACUCUGUUAUUAGGGAAGAACAAAUGUGUAAGUAACUAUGCACGUCUUGACGGUACCUAAUCAGAAAGCCACGGCUAACUACGUG